rnacentral:tRNA from 3 species
GCCGGCGUAGCUCAGUUGGUAGAGCAGCUGAUUCGUAAUCAGCAGGUCCUCGGUUCAAGUCCGAGCGCCGGCUCCA